UACGUAGGGUGCGAGCGUUAAUCGGAAUUACUGGGCGUAAAGCGUGCGCAGGCGGUUUUGCAAGACAGAUGUGAAAUCCCCGGGCUUAACCUGGGAACUGCAUUUGUGACUGCAUGGCUAGAGUGCGGCAGAGGGGGAUGGAAUUCCGCGUGUAGCAGUGAAAUGCGUAGAUAUGCGGAGGAACACCGAUGGCGAAGGCAAUCCCCUGGGCCUGCACUGACGCUCAUGCACGAAAGCGUGGGGAGCAAACAGG
rnacentral:rRNA from 1 species